UCUGGCUGAUCAUAUCUAUCAAAUAAGCCCUGGAAGAGGAUAAACGAAGAUGAUAAUUUUCUCAUUUGUCUGAGAAAAAAUGGAGGGGAUAACAAGGAAGAUAAAAAUAUGCUUUAGUUAUUUUUUCACAUGUAUUUUCAAUUUUGUUGAAAGAGGAUAAAUUAUAAAGCUCAUUAUUUCCUUUAAAAUAUUGUUUCCAAUAAAAGUAUAAAACUAUAUCAUUUUUCUUCCGGACGAUCAAACACCAUGCUCAUCUUAAAGUUGACUAGUUGAAUUUGAAGAUUCUUCUCGCGUAUGUUUUUAGAUGAACA
rnacentral:lncRNA from 1 species